rnacentral:rRNA from 1 species
GAUGAACGCUGGCGGCGUGCCUAAUACAUGCAAGUCGAGCGAACGGACGAGAAGCUUGCUCCUCUGAUGUUAGCGGCGGACGGGCGAGUAACACGUGGAUAACCUACCUAUAAGACUGGGAGAAUUUCGUGAAACCGUAGCUAAUAACGGAUAAUAUUAUGAACCGCAUGGUUCAAAAGUGAAAGACGGUUUUGCUGUUAGUUAUAGAUGGAUCCGCGCUGCAUUAGCUAGUUGGUAAGGUAACGGCUUACCAAGGCAACGAUGCAUAGCCGACCUGAGAGGAUGAUCAGCCACGCUGGAACUGAGACACGGUCCAGACUCCUACGGGAGGCAGCAGUAGGGAAUCUUCCGCAAUGGGCGAAAGCCUGACGGAGCAACGCCGCGUGAGUGAUGAAGGCCUUCGGAUCGUAAAACUCUGUUAUUAGGGAAGAACAUAUGUGUAAGUAACUGUGCACAUCUUGACGGUACCUAAUCAGAAAGCCACGGCUAACUACGUG